rnacentral:lncRNA from 1 species
CUAUCUCUUCAUUUGACCCUCUAACUCUAGCACUCUCUAUUCUAAUUCUAUUACUUUAAAAAAAUUGUUUUGUACCCUUUUAGAGUUGCGCUCUAUUCAUUUACUGCUACGUUUUACUUAAAAAAAAAAAAAAACAACUAAGCUUCUCUAAUCUUUUUGUAUUCUGUUUUCUUUUUAUUAUAAAAUGAACAAAAACAAAAAAAGGCCUCUUACACUAGCUUGCUCUAUUCUUUUUUUAUUCCAUUCUUUUUAUUAUAUAAUUAAAAAUAAAAAACAUUGCUACAUGUACUGCGUUAAACUACCUGAGACUUGUUAUAGCACUUGUAUAUCAUUGCUCUUUUGUUGAUUUUGAUUGCUUCUAUUGUCCUCAUUUGUAAGUCACUUUGGAUAAAGUCUGUGUUAAUAAUCAGAUGUCUCCGGGUGCACGGCUGAUAUUAUUUUUUCAGGUGUCACGUGGUAUUAGCUCUUAAUUUCCUUACAUUUUAUGCUCAAAGCAUGAAGAAAAGCGGUUCUGGAAGAGGAACUGAAUCUUUUGCAAGAGGUAAAAGGUAAUUUAUUAUUUAUUGAACAGAAAUUAAAAUUGCAGAAAUAUUGAGUUAGCAAUAAGAUCAGUAUGAACCAAUAAAGAAAACAUUUUUUUUAUUAGGUUUAAAUCCCUUUUUAAGUUCAGCAGUCAAAAAGCUCAUCUAAACAAAUGUGUUUGUCUUUGGCUUUAGAUAAAUCUGUAAGUAAUGAGAACCGAGAAGAACUGGUUAAAUUGUGCCUCUGGCUUGGAGAUGAGCAGAAGUUUCUGAAUAAUUAUGGAAUGAUCUGGGUUGGAAGUUGCAAAGAACAUGAUGAGCAGGCCAACUUCCUGGAGCAAGUAAUGCAUGCAAGACUUUUGAAAUGAACUAUGACCUGGUCCUGCAGAACAUCCAGGAACUGAACAUCAUAGCAGGGGAAGGGGAAUCCCAUGUGACCGCCACUCCUGGUGGAGCCAAACUUACCCAGCAGCUUCCGUACCUCUUUGGCUAAUAUGGCAUUGUCAUGUUCAGUGGUCCAUUCCGCUCCUAUCAAGACCCAAGUACAUGUUUUCUGUUAUUUUCCUGCUUUAUCACUUACAUCACUUAGUUUGACUACAUAAAUACCAUACAUUUUCCACAGCCAGCUUCCGUUUACUGAUGAAUCAUCAGAUUUGUCGUUCCUUGUAAGUUUUGCCCUCCAGUUGCAGGAAUGCAUGCAGGACUUGAUGGAUGGGUUUUUUUCCUUCUGGUGUGCCCUUCCAAGUGUGGACUGUGAAUCCAUGAAUCAGUUUUCAUCAUUAUGAUUACUAUUGCUCAUAUUUAGGAUAAUAGAUUGACUACACAAUCAGUUCACAAGCUUGGGUUGAUAAUAUUUGUAAAUGUUUUUGAAAGUCUUUUAUGCUCACCAAGGCUGCAUUUAUUUGAUCUAAAAUACAGUAAAAAUUAAUAUUAUUAUUAAUACUUAAAACAUCUGUGCUGCAUAAUAUUUUUGUGGGAACUAAUCAAUUUUUUUCAGGAUUUUUUGAUGAAUUUAAAGUUGAAUUUAUUUGAACAUUAUGUACUUUUGUAUGUUAUAAAUGUCUUUAUAUGCACUUACGAUCAAUUUAAUACAGCUUUGCUGAAUAAAAGUAUUAAUUUCAUUCAAACACAAAAAAAAAAAUUGUUAGUGACCCAAAACUUUUGAACAAUAUAAUCUAGUGCUGUCAAACGAUUAAUCAC